CAGCCGCCACGGGAAUACGAAGGGGGCUAGCGUUGUUCGGAAUUACUGGGCGUAAAGCGCACGUAGGCGGACAUUUAAGUCAGGGGUGAAAUCCCGGGGCUCAACCCCGGAACUGCCUUUGAUACUGGGUGUCUAGAGUAUGGAAGAGGUGAGUGGAAUUCCGAGUGUAGAGGUGAAAUUCGUAGAUAUUCGGAGGAACACCAGUGGCGAAGGCGGCUCACUGGUCCAUUACUGACGCUGAGGUGCGAAAGCGUGGGGAGCAAACAGGAUUAGAUACCCCCGUAGUCCCUGUCUCUUAUAU
rnacentral:rRNA from 1 species